GAUGAACGCUGGCUACAGGCUUAACACAUGCAAGUCGAGGGGAAACGACGGGGAAGCUUGCUUCCCCGGGCGUCGACCGGCGCACGGGUGAGUAACGCGUAUCCAACCUGCCUCUGACUGAGGGAUAACCCGUCGAAAGUCGGCCUAAUACCUCAUGGUAUCGUCUGCGGGCAUCCAACGACGAUUAAAGAUUUCAUCGGUCAGGGAUGGGGAUGCGUCUGAUUAGCUUGUUGGCGGGGUAACGGCCCACCAAGGCUACGAUCAGUAGGGGUUCUGAGAGGAAGGUCCCCCACAUUGGAACUGAGACACGGUCCAAACUCCUACGGGAGGCAGCAGUGAGGAAUAUUGGUCAACGGGCGAGAGCCUGAACCAGCCAAGUAGCGUGCAGGAAGACGGCCCUAUGGGUUGUAAACUGCUUUUAUGCGGGGAUAAAGUGAGGGACGUGUCCCUCAUUGCAGGUACCGCAUGAAUAAGGACCGGCUAAUUCCGUG
rnacentral:rRNA from 1 species